GUGGGGAAUCUUGCGCAAUGGGCGAAAGCCUGACGCAGCCAUGCCGCGUGAAUGAUGAAGGUCUUAGGAUUGUAAAAUUCUUUCACCGGGGACGAUAAUGACGGUACCCGGAGAAGAAGCUCCGGCUAACUUCGUGCCAGCAGCCGCGGUAAUACGAAGGGGGCUAGCGUUGCUCGGAAUUACUGGGCGUAAAGGGCGCGUAGGUGGACAGCUUAGUCAGAGGUGAAAGCCCAGGGCUCAACCUUGUAAUUGCCUUUGAUACUGGCUGUCUUGAGUUUGGGAGAGGUGAGUGGAACUCCGAGUGUAGAGGUGAAAUUCGUAGAUAUUCGGAAGAACACCAGUGGCGAAGGCGACUCACUGGCCCAAUACUGACGCUGAGGCGCGAAAGCGUGGGGAGCAAACAGGAUUAGAAACCCCAGUAGUCC
rnacentral:rRNA from 1 species